UACAGAGGGUGCGAGCGUUAUCCGGAGUUACUGGGCGUAAAGGGCGUGUAGGUGGUUGCGUAAGUCUGGCGUGAAAUUUUUCGGCUUAACCGGGAAAGGUCGUCGGAUACUGCGUAGCUAGAGGACGGUAGAGGCGUGUGGAAUUCCGGGUGUAGUGGUGAAAUGCGCAGAUAUCAGGAGGAACACCGGUGGCGAAGGCGGGUCUCUGGGCAACUACUGACGCUGAGGAGCGAAAGCGUGGGGAGCGAACAGG
rnacentral:rRNA from 1 species